CGUGUAGGCGGCUAAUUAAGUCAGGCGUGAAAUCUAUGGGCUUAACCCAUAAAUUGCGUUUGAAACUGGAUAGCUUGAGGAUCGGAGAGGGCAGUGGAAUUCCCAGUGUAGCGGUGAAAUGCGUAGAUAUUGGGAGGAACACCAGUGGCGAAGGCGACUGCCUGGACGACACCUGACGCUGAGGCGCGAAAGCUAGGGGAGCAAACGGGAUUAGAUACCCCGGUAGUCCUAGCCGUAAACGAUGGGUACUAGGUGUGGGAGGUAUCGACCCCUUCCGUGCCGCAGUUAACACAAUAAGUACCCCGCCUGGGGAGUACGGCCGCAAGGUUGAA
rnacentral:rRNA from 1 species